GCGUCCAUUGUCUAAUGGAUAGGACAGAGGUCUUCAUAUUUUUUGGUAUAGGUUCAAAUCCUAUUGGACGCA
rnacentral:tRNA from 1 species